rnacentral:rRNA from 1 species
UCUAUGUCGGCGACCGGCGCACGGGGUGCGUAACGCGGUAAUGCAACCUACCCAUUACAGGGGGAUAACACUGAGAAAUCGGUACUAAUACCCCAUAACAUCCAGGGAGGCAUCUUCUUGGGUUGAAAACUCCGGUGGUAAUGGAUGGGCAUGCGUUGUAUUAGUUAGUUGGUGGGGUAACGGCUCACCAAGACAACGAUACAUAGGGGGACUGAGAGGUUAACCCCCCACAUUGGUACUGAGACACGGACCAAACUCCUACGGGAGGCAGCAG